CAGCCCGUUGCCAGGCAGGCUCUGUUGCCAGGUGGUUUCCAAAGCCAUCCAAUCACAGCCCGUUGCCAGGCAGGCUCCGUUGCCAGGUGGUUUCCACAGCCAUCCAAUCACAGCCCGUUGCCAGGCAGGCUCCGUUGCCAGGUGGUUUCCACAGCCAUCCAAUCACAGCCCGUUGCCAGGCAGGCUCCAUUGCCAGGUGGUUUCCACAGCCAUCCAAUCACAGCCCGUUGCCAGGCAGGCUCCGUUGCCAGGUGGUUUCCAAAGCCAUCCAAUCACAGCCUGUUGCCAGGCAGGCUCCGUUGCCAGGUGGUUUCCACAGCCAUCCAAUCACAGCCCGUUGCCAGGCAGGCUCCAUUGCCGGGUGGUUUCCCAGGGGGUGUCGGAAGCCAUUCCUAGUAACUGACGCUCUCUUGCCAGCGGCCAUCUUGGCAUGGCCUUCUCAUUCCACCACGGACCCUCAGAGACAAGGGCCUUGUAUCCAACUGCUGCUUUCUCGUAGCUGCUGGAUGUACUUGUGUGCGACCCCCCUCCCGCCCCCGGCUCAGCGCCGGCUGCCCGCAGAGGGAAAGCCCCGGGACCCCUCUGGCCGUCCCCAGGGAAGCCGCUGGACCUGCCUGCGGCGCUGACGCAGCUGCGGGAGCCCCGUUUCCCACACUCUGGCAGACACGGUGCGUGUCGGACGGCUCGCUUUUGCCUUUUUGAUUGGCCCAGCUGGAUGUGUGCCAUCCUCUCUAGUUGAGGCGACAGUGUGAGGAAAUGAUUUCCCUAAGUCUCAACUAAAAAGAAAGGCAUUAAUAAAGCAUUUAAUUUUUUUUAUUUGACAGGUAGAGUUACAGACAGUGAGAGAGAGAGACAGAGAGAAAGGUCUUCCUUCUGUUGGUUCACUCCCCAAAUGGCCGCCACAGCCGGAGCUACACCGAUCUGAAGCCAGGAGCCAGGUGCUUCCUCCUGGUCUCCCAUGCGGGUGCAGGGCCCAAGCACUUGGCCCAUCCUCCACUGAACUCCUGGGCCACAGCAGAGAGCUGGACUGGAAGAGGAGCAACCGAGACUAGAACCGGUGCCCUUGUGGGAUGCCGGCACCGCAGGCAGAGGAUUAAUCAAUGGGCUUUCUCAAGGCCAGUGUGUUGACUUAGGACAAGCCCCACCUGGAACCUUACCCCGUGAGACGUACACAAGCAUCCUGAACUGUUGUGCCUGUCGCUUGCUCUGGGAUGACGGAGAAGUGUUGAAGUUCGUGUGGCGUAACUAGAAGGGACUCUGUCUUUCCAGUAAGGCAAGGCCCACUCAGGCGCUUAGUGGUCACCUAGGACUUCUCGAUGGCUUUUGCUUAUAGUUGCUGAAAUACUAUGCCUUUCACUAGAAGAAAGUGAAUGGGCCAAACAUUUCAGUCUCCAAAGAAACCUUAGGCAAAGGGAACCUCAAGGAGAGACUACCGUUUGCUAUUCUCACGCCAGAGACACAUUUGCUGAGGAGGACAGCAGCCAAAUGGCUGACGUCUAGGCAUUUCUGGAGGGAUGCUCACUGCUCCACGUCAGUGGCGGUAGUGCUCAGACAGUCUGAGUGAAGGUGAGAAGUGUCUUCCUAAAAGUGUGUGCUGUUGUCCUGGGAUGCCUCCCUAGAAGGGCUCAGCCUCCAAGCGUCCCUGCCCUCUGAAUGAUGGCGAGAACACAAGUAUCCUGUAGCACAGCCAUGGUGGUACUUCCUCCCAUUGUACCACAUAUGCUGUGGGCUGUGUGUCCCAGGUGCUCUGAGCGUAGUGUGUCCAGUCAGUCAGGGUGCUAUCCCCUCAAACAGCACAGGCGGACAGGGCACCACCCCUCAAACAGCACAGGCAGACAGGGCACCACCCCUCAAACAGCACAGAUGGACAGGGCACCACCGCUCAAACAGCACAGGCAGACAUGAGGUGUCUCCUGGAGCACAAGGACAGAAGCGUCUCUCUGACGAAUGUCUCCUGAGUGGUGAAGGACCCUCCGAUAGUAACAGAUUUGCUCAAACCAGAUGGACCCCCAAGUGCUCCAACCACUCCACAUGUGGGUAGUGUUGGCCCCUUCCAUUGCAACACGUGUGCUCUGGACCCAAGGGACCCAGGUGCUCUGACUGUAGGUGAGAACAUGAGGAUCUCCAAGCACAGGUGUGUUGGACUACAACGUACUCUCCCAGUGUACUAUGGCAAGGCGUUCCCUACGUAGCCUGCCCCUAGGCAUGAAGCAUUUCUAGAGAGGUCUGAUGCUGGCCUCUCUCACUGCCCCAGAUGCGCUUGGCACAGGCGCUGGCUGCUAUAAACGCAGAGUGUUCCUCGUCAGUGCCGCUGCUUAGCAAUGCCCAGUAGUAGUGGUAUGUUUUGGCCCAGCUGGCAGCAGGUCCUUUGGCUACAGACAGGAAAGAUAGUGUCCUGGGGGCAGAUUUGCUUUCGGCAGUGCUGGUCUCCAGUUGCAACAGGGGUGGGUGCUAUAGACCCACAGGACCGCAGUGCCCAGGGCUGUCAUGAGCUGCGUUGCUGGGUGUCCCACUUCGCCUUGCUCCAAAGCUGCCUGCUCCAGACGUGGAGCUGCAGCCCACGCCAGACACAAUGACCCCAAAGCUGCAGCUUACCCAGAGGGCUGCAGAUCCCACAAAUGCAAAUUGGCCUGGAUUAGUGUUGCAAAAGGUGGGCAAUAGGCCUCAGAGUUGUGUAUGUCAGUGGGAUGCGUGGCAUGAAAGAGUGACCGCACCAGUGAAAAAUCGGCCCCGGUGCCACCAAAGGCUGGCUGGGUGCUGACAGGGAUACCACAGGUGGAAUGUGAGAGCAUCGAUGGGCACCUAUGCUGUCACCGGGUCCGUGGACUGCACUGGGGGUGAGGCCGGGCACUUCUGCUGAUCCUGUAAGGUUUCCCAAAGGGAAAGAAUUGAUAAAGAUGUCAGAGGGAGACUCAAAGACAACUUGCUAGGUUCCGGUGUGGUGUCCCUAGCGAUGUCAUCAGAGUCAAAGCCAAGUUUGGCCACCUGUCUGAAGAGCGGCUGCCUACUCGAGUGAAGGCGACUGUGGAAUCCCUGGCAGGUGGGCCAGAAAACAGGACACCGGGCGGAGUAGCUCUCUGUUCUGUCCAUCAGGACCCCAGGAUUUCAGCUGAGGGGUGGUUCCUGGUUCAAAGGGGAGGUUUUAAAAUUGGCUGGAGCAGCUGAGCAUGGAAGCAGGUGGAGUGGUGGAGACGUGGCCUUGGUACGGGAGUGUCUGCUCCGGCUGGCCCUGGCGGAUGGGGGGAAGCUCACACGGGGUCACCCUGGAGCCAAGAAGAUAGAGUGGUGUCUGCGCCAGUUAUAACGCAGUCUGCAGCUGGACUGCCUGGGAUGGUGGAAGCGAGUGCGGAAGCCGUGACGGGCCGGCCGGGGAGACAGGGCUACAGGUGGAGGGGGCUUGAGGAGGGCUCUGUGGGUCCCCAUAGGAAAAGAAGGAGGAGGCCGAGUGGCCCUGCUCUCUGAAGAGGCCUCGGUGUCCUCAGCCACUUUGUGGUUCCAUUAAGGCUCAGUGUUCUCUCCCAAGCCUAGGUCUUCUUCAGUGACCAUACAAAGGCGGGUGGUGCAGCCAGCUCUCUCCAGGGCGGCAACAGGGGCAGCUGAAGCAUCAGCAGAGGCCUUGGAGGCCUCUCCGUACAGAGCCCACAGCUGGCAGACGUGAGCAGAGACGGCCUCUCUGCCAGGGUAUCUGAAAGCUCUCCUCUCUGGCCCUCCUUCUUUGACCCCGAGGAAGCUGGGAGCUGAGUUGAGGAAUGGCUUACCUGUGGGGCUCUUCCUGUCUCCGGUAGCAGGAAGGAGACUAUGUCCUGCUGUCGAGAGACAGGCAGCCCCCAGCGGGCAGGGCCGUAAGAGCUGGUGACAGCUUGGCCUUUGGCAAAUGAGCUUCCUAGAAGACGUCUGGGAUAUCUUGCCUCAGCUGCCUUCUGGGUCCGUGGAGUAGAGUUUCCAACUCAGAGAGCCAGGACCUGCGCCCAGAUAUGUGAUGACUGCAGUUGUCCCCAGGGGCCUAGAUGCUGGAGGGACACUCCACUGCCCUGGGGGCUCCUCUCUUGACACCCUGCCUUGCGGAUACCGUUUGGUCGCCUUCCUCCUCUGACCCCUUUGCUUCGUGCUUCUAGUGGCUUCAUCUCAGUCUCCUGAUCUGGCAGGGGAUUGGCUGUUGCACAGGUGACUGGCUGACCAAGUGACAAAGGAAAAGCGUCCGUUUGUGCCUUGGAGGAGGGAUCACUACCAACCCAGGGUGGUUAGAGACUUUGAGGUAUAGGCAGAGAGGAUCAGUAAGCUUCCCGAUGGGACUGUCACCUUUAUAGUGUUGUGUAACACUGGUGGGGUGAGGCACACAUCAGUGAAGCUGCCGGGGGUAAAGCCAGCCGGGCGACUCCAGCCACAAGAGGGUCAGUUGACAAGGUGUGCUACUCUGUGGGUGGGGUCCGGGGACUUAAGGGGGGAGCGGGCCGAGGCCUUCGCCCUCAAAGGGCUGGUUGUGUGCUGUUGGAUCCUGGGAGCAUAGUAGGAAAUGGCUCCUCCACAGCGGACAACACACCGAUCAGCUUGAUGCAUGCGGAACACAGGACGAACAGAGCACAGGCUAGUGGUCCACCAGUGAGAGGCACAAACACAGAAGUGCCGGAGGGCAGGGGGUAAGGCCCAGAAUCUGAGCCUCGUCAGGGAUUUCUCGUGCUUCCUGACUUUCCCACCCCCGGGCGCAGGCAGUUGGCACCAGACGGUCUUGGCGGUCACAACAGGACUGUUCCAGACCGUGAAGUCCAGGAGCUGCGUAACUGUCACCCCCAGGACGUCACAGCUGCAGGAUCCUCAGGGCAGCCUGUGGUUGGGUGUCAGCCAGCUCUAGAAGGCAGAGCCAAGUCAAAGCCAGGCCAGGAGAGCAACCUGGAUCCGGCCAGGGAGGGGACUCGGCUGCAGGAGGUCAGGGUAGGACAGGUGCGCUGGGGAGACCAGGGGCUGGCCCUGCCUCGUGUGUUACUGUGUCCCCACGUGACACGGCAGUGACCAGGCCUCCUCAACCACACCCACACAACAGCGGCACUAGCAGCAGCCAUGGCAGUAAGAGUGGCAUUGAAGAUGCCUGUGUGUGUACAGGGCCUGCCACCAGCGAAUGUGAGUGGAGAAUUUCCCCGUGAGAGACUGCUGGAAGCCUUCCUGCUGUCCUCUCUGACUUUAAUGAGGCUGCAGAGCCGAGUUUCUCUCGGCCUCUUCCUGUCACGCAACCACCACCGAUGACACAGGCGAGCCCCCGCCUCCUGCAUUCUGGUAGCCCAAGGCCAAGGCUCAGAACACUGGCUCCCUCGGAGACGCCCCUAGCUCCUCUGUACUUCCUAGAGUCAGCGCACGCCUUCCUGGAAAGGCCCAGUGUGCCCAGCAUUGCUGGCUGGACCACGCAGGCUUCUGAGGUAGAGACCUGGAUACUGCAUCACACCCUUUCCAGGCUGUCUGACUCCAGAGCUCAUGCAUUUUGCCAGCAGAUUUGGUGCCUGUUCACCACACAGCCUUCACGUUUCACUGUUUUUUUGAUCAUCCUUAAUGCUACUUACAAAUAAUGAACACAGGAGGAGGUCAUCUUUGGUUCACACUGGGCUCCAAGAUCAUCCAAACACAAGGGCAGGGACCACCAACUGUCAGUCCAUCUGAAUCAGGGAUUUCUCCUCCAUAUGAGCUGUGUAGACUCAUAGCUGUUAGCAAUCAUCUCUCAGGGGUAAGGACUCCAGAUGCACAUCAGGUGGGUGCUGAAUUGAACCAGACUUAGAAUCAUUAUGACUCAACACCAAAAACUCUUUUAGGAUCCCAAGGAUCAGUGUUUGGUGUCCUAGCUGAAACAACUACCAAUACUGGCUUUUCCAGUCCAUGAGCAUGGUAUAACUUUUCCUGUAUUGUGGUCUUUAUGAAGUUUUUUUUUUCCUCUCAGGUUCCUCUCAGGUUGUUACAAAACCUUUGUAACAAGGUUUCACCAAUCAUAGACCAAAGAUAAAAUUUAGCCCACAGCUUAUUCUUGUAAUGCUGAUGAGAUUAGAAUGGUGUUAACAUUUCUCUAAUGUGAAAACAGAAGAAUGUAUGACAGAGACCACACUUAACCUGCAAAGCUGAUAAUAUUUCCCAACUGACCCUUUGUGAGAAAAGUUUGGCAAGCCCUCUUUGGUAGUUUUUGGUGCCUAGGUUUUGUACAGCAUUUGCUAAUUUAUCCCUAGAUAUUUUACAAGUGCUUUUACCCUAUAGUAAGUGAUAUCUUUUAAAUUUCAAUUUUCAGUUGUUUACUGGUAGCAUAUAGAAUAUAUAAUUGGUUUUUAUGUACUGACCUUGGAUGCUGGAGACUUACCAGCUUCCUGCUGCACUUCUGGUAGUUUCUUUAUAGAUUUCUUGGGAUUAUUUUACAUACAUAUUCAUGUUCCCUUUGAAUAAAGAGUGUUUUACAUCUU